GAUGAAGAACGUAGCGAAAUGCGAUAAGUAAUGUGAAUUGCAGAAUUCAGUGAAUCAUCGAAUCUUUGAACGCACAUUGCGCCCGCCAGUAUUCUGGCGGGCAUGCCCGUUCGAGCGUCAUUUCAACCCUCAAGCCCAGCUUGGUGUUGGGGAUCGGCACAGGCGCCCUCGGGCGCCCGCCGUCCCCUAAAUCUAGUGGCGGUCCCGCUGCAGCCUCCUCUGCGUAGUAGUUUUCUCCUCGCAAGGGCAGCUCGGUGGCGACCUCGCCGUAAAACCCCCAACUUCUGAAAGGUUGACCUCGAAUCAGGUAGGAAUACCCGCUGAACUUAAGCAUAUCAAUAAGCGGAGGA
rnacentral:misc_RNA from 1 species